GGGUACAUGGCGUAGUGGUUUAAGUGUUGGAGUACAACUCUGGAGACCAGGGUUCGAUUCCCUGUCAGCCA
rnacentral:tRNA from 1 species